rnacentral:rRNA from 1 species
CACGGGGGGAGCAAGCGUUGUUCGGAAUCACUGGGCGUAAAGGGCGUGUAGGCGGUCAAGUAAGUGGAAUGUGAAAGCCCCCGGCUUACCCGGGGAUCUGCAUCCCAAACUGCUUGGCUUGAGUACGGGAGAGGAUAGGGGAAUUCCUGGUGUAGCGGUGAAAUGCGUAGAUAUUGGGAAGAACACCGGUGGCGCAAGCGGCUUGCUGGGCUGUAACUGACACUGAGGAACGAAAGCUAGGGGAGCGAAUGGG